CGGCGUGCUGCUACUGUUGUAUCUCAUCAAAACUGCACCGCGCUAGUCUCUCAAAUUUACUCUGUGCAAGUGACAGUAGUUGCUGCGAGUUCCUGGAGCCACCAUGAUGAUGGUUCAUCUAAUUCGGCAUAACAAUCCAAGAUCUGAGAUGGACCAGGCAACACCCAACAAAGAAUAAAUAAUAGGCUUAUUAAUGAAAGAAAGUGGUAGAGACCACAAAGCCUCAAUUUUUUCUGUUAUAUAUGCAUGGUGAGGUCUCAAAAUCAUGUUAUAUUGAUAAAGUCGUUUCUUAUCAUGAAAGUCAGCCAGUGAUAAAGG